rnacentral:rRNA from 1 species
GACGAACGCUGGCGGCGUGCCUAAUACAUGCAAGUAGAACGCUGAAGAGAGGAGCUUGCUCUUCUUGGAUGAGUUGCGAACGGGUGAGUGACGCGUAGGUAACCUGCCUUGUAGCGGGGGAUAACUAUUGGAAACGAUAGCUAAUACCGCAUAACAAUGGAUGACACAUGUCAUUUAUUUGGAAGGGGCAAUUGCUCCACUACAAGAUGGACCUGCGUUGUAUUAGCUAGUAGGUGAGGUAACGGCUCACCUAGGCGACGAUACAUAGCCGACCUGAGAGGGUGAUCGGCCACACUGGGACUGAGACACGGCCCAGACUCCUACGGGAGGCAGCAGUAGGGAAUCUUCGGCAAUGGGGGCAACCCUGACCGAGCAACGCCGCGUGAGUGAAGAAGGUUUUCGGAUCGUAAAGCUCUGUUGUAAGUCAAGAACGAGUGUGAGAGUGGAAAGUUCACACUGUGACGGUAGCUUACCAGAAAGGGACGGCUAACUACGUGCCAGCAGCCGCGGUAAUACGUAGGUCCCGAGCGUUGUCCGGAUUUAUUGGGCGUAAAGCGAGCGCAGGCGGUUUGAUAAGUCUGAAGUUAAAGGCUGUGGCUCAACCAUAGUUCGCUUUGGAAACUGUCAAACUUGAGUGCAGAAGGGGAGAGUGGAAUUCCAUGUGUAGCGGUGAAAUGCGUAGAUAUAUGGAGGAACACCGGUGGCGAAAGCGGCUCUCUGGUCUGUAACUGACGCUGAGGCUCGAAAGCGUGGGGAGCGAACAGGAUUAGAUACCCUGGUAGCCCACGCCGUAAACGAUGAGUGCUAGGUGUUGGAUCCUUUCCGGGAUUCAGUGCCGCAGCUAACGCAUUAAGCACUCCGCCUGGGGAGUACGACCGCAAGGUUGAAACUCAAAGGAAUUGACGGGGGCCCGCACAAGCGGUGGAGCAUGUGGUUUAAUUCGAAGCAACGCGAAGAACCUUACCAGGUCUUGACAUCCCGAUGCUAUUUCUAGAGAUAGAAAGUUACUUCGGUACAUCGGUGACAGGUGGUGCAUGGUUGUCGUCAGCUCGUGUCGUGAGAUGUUGGGUUAAGUCCCGCAACGAGCGCAACCCCUAUUGUUAGUUGCCAUCAUUCAGUUGGGCACUCUAGCGAGACUGCCGGUAAUAAACCGGAGGAAGGUGGGGAUGACGUCAAAUCAUCAUGCCCCUUAUGACCUGGGCUACACACGUGCUACAAUGGUUGGUACAACGAGUUGCGAGUCGGUGACGGCAAGCUAAUCUCUUAAAGCCAAUCUCAGUUCGGAUUGUAGGCUGCAACUCGCCUACAUGAAGUCGGAAUCGCUAGUAAUCGCGGAUCAGCACGCCGCGGUGAAUACGUUCCCGGGCCU